rnacentral:lncRNA from 1 species
AUACCUGGAAGUCAGAUUCCAGGCUCCUCUGUGGACGGCUUUGUCUUCGUUCCCUGGCACUUCCAACCCACCCUCUCUACCCAGGAACUAAGGACCUUUGCACUUGCCAUGUCGUCUACCUGGAGUGCCCUCCCAAGCCCCAACCUUGCCUGGCUGGCUUCUUAUACUACAGAUCUGUGCUCAGAUGUCUCCAGAUUCCUGGAGAUACAUUCCAGGCUGAGUGGUCUCCAGUGCCCUGAGAAAGCCCUGUGGAAGCACCAAGGAUGCUGGCACUGCCAGGAAGAGCGAGGGGACACUGACAAGAUGCAGGCAGGAAGCCCAGAAGAAGGACAGCCCCCAUCCUGAGAAUAAGGUAAUAACCGAGGGCUUCCUGGAGGCAGCGAUGUUUUAAGUUGCCUCCUGAAGGAAGAGUAGGAGCCAGCCUGGCAACGGGUGGGAGUUUUCUAGGCAAAGGGAACAGCAAAGGCCCUGCGGCAGGAAAGAGCAGUGUGCGCUCAGGGGAAGCUUGCUGCCUUCACAGCACCUGGAGAAGAAAGGAAGUGGGAUGAGAAGAGGCUGCGAAGAAAAAUGUGGGCCAGAUCAUGGAGGGUCUCCACAGCAAAGGAGCUCAGCUUCUCCUGAAGGCGGUGGUCCCCGGGGCCAGGAUUAGAUUAGAUUUACAAGCUCCUCUGGCUAUAGAUUGAGGAUGAAUCGAAAGGGGCAAGACUAGAGGCAGGGAGCCCGGGAGGAGGCCAGGAAUCCAACAUCCCGGCACGGGCGAUGCAGACGGGGACAGCGUGGGGCACUUGCCCUCGUCUUGGGAUGGGCCAGGAGAGAGGACAUGAAGUCCCCAUUUCACCUAAGAAUGCGGAAGUGGGAGAAGGCAGGGAGGUGGCGAUGAAGCCAGCGCUGGAAGCCCAAGGCUGCCGGGCUGUCCCGCUGUUCAUGGCUGAUGGAAAGCGAACCCAAGCGUCCGUGCCCUCAGCUGCCGCCCGCCUGCUUCCCCACAUCUGCGCUGCCUCCAGCUAAUGAAAGUGUUACUCCACGAAGCAGCAAGGUGGUGUUGCUACUGGUUUAGGAGAGACUCCGUGCAUCUGGCCAGCACUGGUUGAGCAACCAGCUGUGUGCAGACACAGGCUACGUCUGUGCCAGUCACUUUCCAUAGCCUGCAAGCUUUGUAAAGAGUAAGGUGGCCUCUGUGAGGACGGGGGAUGGUUAGAAUCAUGAGAAGGCCUUCGCAGGCUCUGGGACCCUGAGAGGAAGCGGCAGUGAGACUUCCCAGGGCACGGCUUCUCCUUACCCCUCCGUAAGCCCACACCCCUCCUAUCUCUGUCGGGACUUAGCGACAUGUACACGCGUCACUUUCUUCCCCUCUGAGGGCUUGGCGCUUUCUGACCAUGUGCAGAGGGGAGACAGAGGACCACUUCCUCCCACCUGGCUGCUUCUGCAGCACAGGCCCAGCUUCUGAAACGGGACCAUGAGAGUGGAGGAAGAUGAGGAGGACGGGGACAGGAGGAUUCUCCUCUCCUCUUGGGAUCCCUGCUGGCACUCACCCCAAGAAAGAUGCUCACCCCAACCAACCACACCUUGACUCUGCGUCCACUGUCAUCACCCAGAAGAAUGUCCCUGAGUUGACUGUGUCCAGCUUGGCAUGGGGUGGAGAAGAGAGUUGGCUGUACUUGGGAUCAGAGCUUCCAUCUCCCCACAUCCCAAUGUCCCAGCCUGGGGUAGAGGCCAAGACCCUCCAGGGGCUCCCCAUUCUCCAUGCACCCUCUUCCCAUCCCCGCCUCACCCAUUUGACUUUUUUACAGCCACCAAAGUACCUUUAAAGCAGGGCCUUUUCACUUGGGGGGUGAUUUUGCUCACCCUAACCACCAGGGGACAUACAGCAAGCUCAGGAGACAUUUUUGGUUGUCACAACUGGGGAGGAGAGGUGCGGUUUGGUAGGUACCAGUGUCUAGCUGAUAGAGGCUAGGAAGCUGCUGACCAUUCCACUAUGUCCAGGACAGCCCCUUGCCCCCCUCCCAAGAAUUAUCUGGCCCCCAAAUGUCAACAGUGCCCAGGUGGAGAAACCCAGUUUUAAGCCCAUCACAUUGUGUGGCUGUACCAGGUCCCUGGGAACAGAGCCGAAUAGACAAGAAUGUUCCCAUUUUGCAGGUAAAGAAACUGAGGCUUGGAGAGGCAAAAUGAUUCGGCUGAGGCCCCACACUAGGUUCCUGACAAGCGUCUGGCUUCUGGACCAGAGUUCACAUCCCAUCCCAUCAGGCUGGAAGAGACUGCGGGUGAACUGAAUGCCUCUCAACGUCCCUUUCCACCCCUGGUGGCCAGGCUCAUUAGGAGAAAGGAUGUCAGAAUCUCAGUGGAGGUGUGAGGAUUUUUCUCCCAAAGUCAUAAAGCGGAAGGCAUCCUGCCUGUUUAACUGGCAGCCCGUCUUCUGGCCUCACCUCCCUUCAGGUACUGCUUUUUUAUCUCCUCCUAAAAUGCGGCAGCCCUUAUCGUCCCAAUCUCAAAUUUCACUCCAUUUUUUUUAUUACACAAAAGAGAAAAAAAUCUGUCAGUAAAACUGUCUCCUCAAAUUUAUUCGCCGAGACUGAGGGUUUUAUUACGAGGAAAAUACACCCACACCCCACACAUCCACACACAUACCCACACACCCCAGAUAAAGCACUGAAGAAUUAUCCGAGUCGUAAAUCUCUGUUUCAGGCUGAGGGACAGGGGAGUUUCAAGGACGAGACUAGUUUUCCUUUGGUUUUAUUUACAUCUGUUUCUCUGGGGCUGUGUCAGGGCCUCACUGUCAGCCAG